ACGGAGGAGGCGAGCGUUGUUCGGAAUCAUUGGGCGUAAAGGGCUCGUAGGCGGACCUGUGUGUCUUGCGUGAAAUCUUCACGGCUUACCGGGGAGGGUGCGUCUGAAACUACAUCACUUGAGGGUAGGAGAGGAAAGUGGAAUUCCAGGUGUAGCGGUGAAAUGCGUAGAUAUAUGGAAGAACACCAGUGGCGAAGGCGACUUUCUGGACUGAACCUGACGCUGAGGCGCGAAAGCCAGGGGAGCGAACGG
rnacentral:rRNA from 1 species